GAGGAAGAGAAACCAACAGGGAUUGCCUCAGUAGCGGCGAGCGAAGCGGCAACAGCCCAGAUUUGAAAUCUGUCCCCGCACGGGGUCCGACUUGUAAUCUGCAAGAUGGGUCUUCCCGGGGGCGCGCGCGCCGUCCAAGUGAUCCUGGAACGGUCUGCCGUAGAGGGUGAGAGCCCCGUACGGCGGCGCCGCGUCUCCUCCAGCGAAGCCCAUUCGGAGAGUCGAGCAGUUUGGGAAUGCUGCUCUAAAGGGAGGUAAAUCCCUUCCAAGGCUAAAUACCUGCCGGAGACCGAUAGCGCAGAAGUAGCGCGAGCGAAAGGUGAAUAGAACUCUGAAAAGAGAGUUAAAGCAUGUGAAAUCGUUGAAGGGGAAGCGGUUUCGACCAGACUCGCGCCGGUCGGUCACCCAGCGGUCACGCUGGGGCACUCUGCCGGCGCGGGCCAGCAUCGGCUGGCGGCGGGGUCAAAGGCCCUGGGAACGUGGCUCUUCGGAGUGUUACAGCCCAGGGCGCAAUGCCCCGUCGCCGGCCGAGGAAUCU
rnacentral:rRNA from 1 species